CUGGAUCACUUGAGAGCUGUUUAUAACCGGUAUUAUCUCCUUCAACUACCAACGACGAUGUUGAUUGACUUGAAGUACCAGCAGCGCUUCCUGAGUCGUCUUGAUCAAUGGUCAUGUACAAAUCAGCAGUAGCAUUGGCUUCAGUGAGCCGGAAAAAAUCAUCAAGAUCCCGAUAGAGAGUUCUGCUGCUGGUGUCAAACAAGGCUGGAUCACUUGAGAAGUGUUUCUAACGUGAACACCACUAGUAUUAUCUUCGUCAACUACCAACGAUGAUGUUGAUUGACCACAUGUACCAGUAGGUCCUUGUGAGUCGUCUUCUUGAUCAAUAGUCGUGUCAGUAGCCAUAGCUUCAGUGAGCAACAGAAGAAGAUCAAUAUCUUGUUGGAGAGUUUCAGCUGCUGAUCGAGAGCCUUGAACAUC
rnacentral:lncRNA from 1 species